CGUGCCUUUUGUAGAAUGAACCGGCGAGUUACGUUAUCUAGCGAGGUUAAGUCAGAAAAGACGGAGCCGGAGCGAAAGCGAGUCUGAAUAGGGCGAAGAGUUAGGUGACGUAGACCCGAAACCAAGUGACCUACCCAUGGCCAGGCUGAAGGUGUGGUAAAACGCACUGGAGGGCCGAACCCACGUAAGUUAAAAAUUGCGGGGAUGAGCUGUGGGUAGCGGUGAAAUUCCAAACGAACUUGGAGAUAGCUGGUUCUCUCCGAAAUAGCUUUAGGGCUAGCCUCGUGGAGAGGAUAAUGGAGGUAGAGCUCUGUUUGGACUAGGGGCCCGUCAGGGGUUACUGAAUCCAGAUAAACUGCGAAUUCCAUAUAUCCAUACACGGGAGUCAGAC
rnacentral:rRNA from 1 species